AAUUGUAGCCAACGCCAUCUCCAAGACGGUUAUCACGACGCACAAACAAGUUGGAGUCGUGAUCGGACGAAAGCCACCGGAGCUGACGGCCAGGAAUCUGCAUUCAAGGAGCAAUCUUUUAACAAUCAUAUCAAAGAUGGAGCCGUAGUUUAAGAUGCAGAGUGCCAUCCUGUCUCAGUUGAAUCUGUUAUGCAUACCGCAGCAAUGCUGUUCAACAGGUGACUAUUGACCACGAUUAACUUUCACCAGACUGAUUUCUGGAAGUGAAACUGUCGAGUUUGCUGUUCAGAAUGGCUAAGGAGCUGAAUUUGAGGAGAACAUCAGUAAUCCUUUAGGAGAGUGAGGGGCAGAUAGAUGUGAUUGCAGUGACAUCCUUAGAGUUGGUAGUCUCCUAAUGAGAUCGAGGGAUAUAAGUGUGCUUAGCAUGAUUAGAGACAUCUGUGGAUAAAGACUGCAUUCAAGCCAUUAUCUUCAUUUGAAGGCUAUCUCAAGUAUCUCUGCUGCUUGGGCUUUUCUCUAUGCAGUUGCCGCAUAUAAUGAUCCAAAAAUAAUCACCCAAAGGCUCCCUAUUGACUUGCAGAAGAUUUAAAAGCUCAAGUUCAUCAUGUCCUGUAUGGUGUAAGCUUUACCUUAUUUUCAAUUAUAUCUACUUAUGGAGGUCAUCUGUAUCUAGCUGCUUCUCCAAAGAGGCAUGUAAUGAGAUAUCAUUUCUGGACAAGUGAAAGAGUCGUGCUUUUAUGCC